AGUGAACGCUGGCGGUAGGCCUAACACAUGCAAGUCGAACGGCAGCACAGUAAGAGCUUGCUCUUACGGGUGGCGAGUGGCGGACGGGUGAGGCAUACAUCGGAAUCUACUUUUUCGUGGGGAAUAACGUAGGGAAACUUACGCUACUACCGCAUACGACCUACGGGUGAAAGCAGGGGAUCUUCGGACCUUUCGCGAUUGUAUGAGCCGAUGUCGGAUUAGCUAGUUGGCGGGGUAAAGGCCCACCAAGGCAACGAUCCGUAGCUGGCCUGAGAGGAUGAUCGGCCACACUGGAACUGAGACACGGUCCAGACUCCUACGGGAGGCAGCAGUAGGGAAUAUUGGGCAAUGGGCGAAAGCCUGACCCAGCCAUACCGCGUGGGUGAAGAAGGCCUUCGGGUCGUAAAGCUCUGUUGUUGGGAAAGAAAAGCAGCAGGUUAAUACCCCGCUAUUCUGACGGUACCCAAAGAAUAAGCAACGGCUAACUUCGUG
rnacentral:rRNA from 1 species